AUGAAUGCUGUUGCGUCGGAGGAGGCGGGCGCGGCGGCGGCGGCGGCGGCGGUGACCCUGGAGGAGCUGAGGAAGAAGAUGGCCGACUUCGCCAGGGAGAGGGACUGGGAGCAGUACCACAGCCCGAGGAACCUCCUGCUUGCUCUGGUGGGUGAGGUGGGAGAGCUCUCUGAGAUAUUCCAGUGGAAAGGGGAGGUGCCCAAGGGGCUGCCCGGGUGGGAAGAGAGGGAGACGGAGCACCUCGGUGAGGAGCUCGCCGACGUGCUCCUCUACCUCGUCCGCCUCUCGGACAUGUGUGGUGUCGACCUGGGCAAGGCCGCGCUGCGCAAGAUCGACCUCAACGCUCGCAAGUACCCCGCCGGGCCAGGCUGCAGGCCAUCCAAGAAGGGCGCUCACUGCUCCGACGACACCGGUGACCGCCCCGAUGAUUGCGGCGACGUGGUGGCUGCCGUCCACACCAACGAGAUCAAGAAGGAACAUGCUAGCUAA
rnacentral:rRNA from 1 species